GAGGAGGGCUGAAGAUACCAUAGUUAGGAAAUAGCAAGGAGGUGUGGCCUGAUUUCUGGGAGAGGAUGAGGUGCCUAGCGGGGCUGGGAUCUAACACUUUGACACUAAAACAUGUUCUACUCUUGUUGAUUCUUUCCUGUGUUCAAGAAAAACAUGGUUUUGAGACUACUUCUUCAAGAUCUCUGGCCCCACAUUCCCGAGAUCCCAACCAUCCCUGCCUUCACGGCCGUGUUGGUCAGACUCCAUACAAUGCAUCUUCAUUUUCUGAGCCACAAUCCAAGUACCCAAGCCUUUCCAUCAAUCCUGGUCAUGGGAUUCUUCCAAGCAUUCCUGAGGGCCCAGUUCCAUACACCAUGUUUCCGGUACCACUGGACUAGAAAGAGCAGACUCAAGUUUGCUGACUGGAAACAGCAAGAACUUGCUGGAAAAGCACGCUGUGAACUUGGACUUAACUUUUACAUCUUUAUCUGUUUGAGAUCCUCUGGGCUCCCUCCCUCGCCCACCCUGAAACCCUAGUGAUCCUUGGAUAAAGAGUCCUCACUAGAAAACUAUUGGGCAGUGAUUAAACUGAUAUCUUUAGGCUUCAGGGAGUCACCAACAUCUUCCCAAGUUCCCUAAAUAAAAAGAUCAAACGUUGACUC
rnacentral:lncRNA from 1 species